GAUGAACGCUGGCGGCGUGCCUAAUACAUGCAAGUCGAGCGAACAGACGAGGAGCUUGCUCCUCUGACGGUAGCGGCGGACGGGUGAGUAACACGUGGAUAACCUACCUAUAAGACUGGGAUAACUUCGGGAAACCGGAGCUAAUACCGGAUAAUAUAUUGAACCGCAUGGUUCAAUAGUGAAAGACGGUUUUGCUGUCACUUAUAGAUGGAUCCGCGCCGCAUUAGCUAGUUGGUAAGGUAACGGCUUACCAAGGCAACGAUGCGUAGCCGACCUGAGAGGGUGAUCGGCCACACUGGAACUGAGACACGGUCCAGACUCCUACGGGAGGCAGCAGUAGGGAAUUUUCCGCAAUGGGCGCAAGCCUGACGGAGCAACGCCGCGUGAGUGAUGAAGGUCUUCGGAUCGUAAACCUCUGUUAUUAGGGAAGAACAAAUGUGUAAGUAACUCUGCACGUCUUGACGGUACCUAAUCAGAAAGCCACGGCUAACUACGUG
rnacentral:rRNA from 1 species